UACGUAGGGGGCAAGCGUUGUCCGGAUUUAUUGGGCGUAAAGAGCGUGUAGGCGGUUUGGUAGGUCCGCUGUGAAAACUCGAGGCUCAACCUCGAGACGCCGGUGGAAACCAUCAGACUAGAGUCCGGAAGAGAAGAGUGGAAUUCCACGUGUAGCGGUGAAAUGCGUAGAGAUGUGGAGGAACACCAGUGGCGAAGGCGACUCUUUGGUCUGUAACUGACGCUGAGGCGCGAAAGCGUGGGGAGCAAACAGG
rnacentral:rRNA from 1 species